rnacentral:rRNA from 1 species
GCUAGUAAUCGCGGAUCAGCAUGCCGCGGUGAAUACGUUCCCGGGCCUUGUACACACCGCCCGUCACACCAUGGGAGUCGGUAACACCCGAAGCCUGUAGUCUAACCGCAAGGGGGACGCAGUCGAAGGUGGGAUUGAUGACUGGGGGUGAAGUCGUAACAAGGUAGC